rnacentral:rRNA from 1 species
AUGCCAAUUAGGGGCAGGUCCCAAUGGCCCAAGGUAAAUCCUGGAUUUGAUAUGAUCCCUCCAAAGCUUACCAAGAGUGCUGGACGCCCAAGAACUAGGAGGAUAAAGAAUUACACCGAAGGUGGAACUGGCAGAAAACAUAAAUGCAGGUGUGGAGCAUUAGGUUAUCUUCGAAAGACAUGCAAGGAGCCAGAGAUUGAAAGUGACGUGGACCGAGAUGCUACUCCUCCUCCACGGUAA